rnacentral:SRP_RNA from 1 species
GCCGGGUGUGGUGGCGUGCGCCUGUAAUCCAAGCUCCAUGGAGGCUGAGGCUGGAGGAUGGUGGGAGCUCAGGAGCUCUGAGCUGCAGUGGACUAUGUUGAUCAGGUGUCCACACUCAGCUCAGUAUCAAUAUGGUCUUCCUGGGGGAGCCCAGGACAACCAGGUUGUCUAAGGAGGGGUGAAUCGGCCCCGGUCGGAAACGGAGCAGGUCAAAGCCCGCGUGCCGUUCAGUGGUGGGAUCACACCUGAGAGUAGAUGUUGCAGUGCAACCUCAGCAACACAUCCAGACCCAGUCUUUU